rnacentral:lncRNA from 1 species
AGAAGCAUCUCAAGAUUGUAGCCAUUGGUGUUUGCCAGGUCUUCCAGAUACAUGGAAUCAACUGCUUUAUGCAUCUCUAUUAGUGAAUGCCAAAGGUUCCUGAAAAGAUUAAUCUUGCAUUAUUAUCCUCUUGACUGAAACUUUUGCCAUCGAAACAAAAGAAGACCAGAUAUAUUUUACAAAAUUUCGAAUGUUCUUAACUAGCAAAAUAGUUUGUAUUUUGUUAAUAUAAAGUAGUAGUUGAUUUGUUGCAUUGAUAACAUUGUUAUAUCACCUGUUAAAUCGUAGUCAAAAUUUAAUUAAAAUCAGUAGCGAGACUGUCUUUCACUGAUACUUUUCUGAUUCACGCCAGGUCCGGCCAGAUUCACCAAUGAUGGUAAGUUUCCCCGUACCCGAUAGGCCGAUACCUGCCCUGUACCCGGAUGGUCGGGUACGAGGACGAAAAUGAUUUUUCUAUCCGAAGUAGGAAAAUCCCCGUUCCUGGCCGAAAUUCUCGGCCAUUUCCAGGUAUAGGGAUGGGGAUUGAAAUCCCCACCCUGAAUAAUACUCGCACACCUAAGGUAAAUUAUAUUUAUACCUUAUAUAAUAUUUUAUAUAGUAUAAUUUAUAUAAAUAACUCUAUAUAAUAUAUUAAAUACAUAAGUUUAUAUUUAAAAUGUACUCAUAAAAAAUUUAUAUUCAACCUCGUACAUUUUAAUAUUUCAUUUAUAUUUAAGUGUCAAAUCCCCAAAGAUCAAAUCCCUAAAUCUAUUUCUUCCCUAAAUCUCAAAACCCUAAAUCACUCCCUAACUAAAUCGAUUCUCCCUUUAUUUCUAUUUCUUCCAUUGGUGAAUUCAACUCAUUCAAAGUAAGGAUCGAUUCAAAAGGUAAAUAUUUAUUUUUAUUUCUAUUUCUAAGAAUGAAUUAGAAUCUCUUGCUUUUUUAUAUCUUGAGUUGUUGUUUUCUCAUUUCCGUUCUGUCAUUUUCUUUCUGUCGCAAGAAAACUAUUUUAGAUUUAACAAAUAAAACAUACCGUCAACUUCAUGUCGCCAUCCCAGUGUUGGUUUAAUAUUGAAACGAUUAGGAGGUGGAUCCUGUUAAAAUUCAAAAUUUUGGCCGGGUAUCCCUGUCUCUGUAUCCAAUCAUUGGCCGGGUACGGGGAAGAUUUUUGGGUCCGAGUAUUUCCCCGUACCCGCUCACCCCUAGACAGAUAGCUGGGCCGAUCAGGUUUGUCAGACCAGGUCCUUUUCCUCCUAGGGCUUAAGAAGUUUGAGCUUCCCCAUCUAUAUUACAAAAAAAACUGACUUUUUUGGAGGCUCUUUUUUGAGACUUGACCUGACGUGAAACAGGAAAUAUAGUGUCAGAUAGCUGGGCCGGUUAGGUUUGCCGGAUCAGGUCCUUUUCCUCCUAGGCCUUAAGACGUUUGAGGUCCCCCGUCUAUAUUACAAAAAAAUUGACUUUUUUGGAGGCUCUUUUUUGAGACUUGACCUGGCGUAAAACAGGAAAUAUAGUGAUAGAUAGCUGGGUCCAGUGGCGUAUCCAGGAUUCCCCGGCAGGGGGGGCAAGAUUCGCCGAAGGCGAAAAAUUUUUUUUGCCGAAGAUCUCUCCUAUAUAUAUGUCAAGAUAUUAAAAUAGUGUAGUAGAACUUAAAAUUAAUUCAAGCUCACCGAAUAAAGCUCCAACAAUUUUAGUCUCGUUCAUCCGUAGUGUGUUUAACAAAUCGAAUCAAGUAAAGCUAAGCUCGGACUCAGCUCGCCAAGUGAGAAUAAGAUUUAGCUCGAAUCCUAUUUUGCAAAACUAAAGAUCGAAGCUUGAUAAACUAACUUGCAAUAUAACAUCAAAAAUCAAUAUUAAACAAUAAUUUUAGAAUACCAAAGAUCAGUGGCGUAUCCAGUUUUUGAAGGACCCAUCAACUGUUUGGGGGUAUGUUAUUGAUCUUGGACUCCUUGUGUACUAGAAACAACUUAUAUAGAAAGCAACGGAGGGAGAAAUCGUGAGGUGGAUGGGUCAUGCGAGUUGGGAGGAGGAGAGAUUGGGGAAGAAAUUGAAGGAGGAGGAGGAGAAAUCGAUAGUUUUGGGGAAGAAGAUUG